CAUUACCCAGCAUUUCCCUGCAUCCCUGUAAAUAUAUAUAUUUACAGGAAUGCAGAAAAAUGCUGGGUAAUGUGGGAUAUAUAUAUAUAUAUACCGCUAUAUAUAUUUACAGGGGUGCAGGGAUAUGCUGGGUAAUG